rnacentral:lncRNA from 1 species
AUUUAUUUUACGGUCUGUUUGUGCGUACGUGAGUGGGGAGCAUGAACAAGCAAAUAGUUUUUUCCAUAUGAUAUACAAAAAUGUAUUAUAUUUACUUAAUAAAAAUUAUAUGUAUGAACAAACUUUAAGUUACAAAUUAAGAGAGCAACAAAAUAACAACUUUACUAAUAAUAAUAAAAAUGAAAUCGAAAAUAGAAAUCCCAAAUUUAUACAAAAUAAGUUUUCAAAUGAAAUGGAUAACUAUUUGUUAGAUAUAAAAAAAAACAAAACAACGGAUCUGCAAACAGUUAGUGAGUUAAUAAAACUUUUUAACUAUUUAAUGAUAAAGAUUGACACAGUGUAUUAUUUAUAUUUAAAUAAUGGCAUAGAACAGUUUAAUAUAGAAACCAUAAUAAAUAUGAUGAAAAGCUUUGUUUUUGUUUAUAAUAUAAAGAAUGAAUUGAACAAGAAUUAUGACAAUGGCGGCGUUAGUAGUAGUGGCAGUAGUAGUAGUAGUAGUAGUAGUAGGAGCAGUAGUAGUAGGAGCUUACACACAAAUAAACAAAACGCAACAACUUUAGAUAGUAAUAUAAACAACCUGAUAAACAUUGUUACCCAAAUAGUAACAACAAGUACAUUAUAUAAUGUAUACAGUAUGUGUACUAUAAAACAAUUAAGUACUGUUGUUUAUUAUUUACAUCAAAUAGGCAAUGUUUUUCAUGAUGAAGCAAAAGAGUUGCUACAGAUAGAGGAAUUACAAAAACAUAUUAACGACAUAGUUAUUGUACAUUUAAAAAGUAUAUUGAAAGAAAAUGAAGAUACAAUAAAAAGUUUUAACAGAGCUGGAAGAAUCGUUCAACUUGGUGGACUUGGACAGGCAGAAAAUAAUUUGGCUAACCAUAAGAUCGGUAACAAUCGAGUUGAUAACUCAACGAUUAAUACGCUUAACAACAACUCAAUCGAAAGUAACAAAGAUAGUGAAAAGGCAACACAUCCGUUUACUAAUAAAAGCAGUAAUACAUUAAUGGACACUAUUAGUCUAAACAGAAAUCGAAACGAACGGGUUGAAGAAUAUGAAAAAAAAAAAAAAAAAAAAAAAAAUGAUGAUGAUAAUGAUGAUGGUGAUGAUGGUGAAUAUUUUAUUUUAUUAUUGAAUAUAUACAGCAAAAAAGGAGAUAAAAAGAACAUACUCUUGAUGUUACUAAAAAUAAUGAAUAUAAAAAAAAUA